rnacentral:rRNA from 1 species
GGAUUAGAUACCCUGGUAGUCCACGCCGUAAACGAUGAUAACUAGCUGCUUGGGCUCAUGGAGCUUGGGUGGCGCAGCUAACGCAUUAAGUUAUCCGCCUGGGGAGUACGGUCGCAAGAUUAAAACUCAAAGGAAUUGACGGGGGCCUGCACAAGCGGUGGAGCAUGUGGUUUAAUUCGAAGCAACGCGCAGAACCUUACCAGCCUUUGACAUCCUAGGACGGUUUCUGGAGACAGAUUCCUUCCCUUCGGGGACCUAGUGACAGGUGCUGCAUGGCUGUCGUCAGCUCGUGCC